AGCCUAUUUGUACGGGUCGAGUACAA
rfam:Soil-borne rye mosaic virus strain C RNA1 148K protein, 207K protein, and 37K protein genes, complete cds.